GAUGAAGAACGUAGCGAAAUGCGAUAAGUAGUGUGAAUUGCAGAAUUCAGUGAAUCAUCGAAUCUUUGAACGCACAUUGCGCCCUUUGGUAUUCCAAAGGGCAUGCCUGUUCGAGCGUCAUUUGUACCCUCAAGCUUUGCUUGGUGUUGGGCGUCUUGUCUCUAGCUUUGCUGGAGACUCGCCUUAAAAUAAUUGGCAGCCGGCCUACUGGUUUCGGAGCGCAGCACAAGUCGCACUCUCUAUCAGCAAAGGUCUAGCAUCCAUUAAGCCUUUUUUUCAACUUUUGACCUCGGAUCAGGUAGGGAUACCCGCUGAACUUAAGCAUAUCAAUAAGCGGAGGA
rnacentral:misc_RNA from 1 species